UACGUAGGGGGCGAGCGUUAUUCGGAAUUAUUGGGCGUAAAGGGCGCGUAGGCGGCCUUUCAAGUGACGGGUGAAAUCCCUCGGCUUAACCGAGGAACUGCCUGUCAGACUGGAAGGCUUGAGACCGGGAGAGGUGAGUGGAAUUCCCAGUGUAGCGGUGAAAUGCGUAGAUAUUGGGAGGAACACCAGUGGCGAAGGCGGCUUCCUGGACCAAUACUGACGCUGAGGCGCGAAAGCGUGGGGAUCAAACAGGAUUAGAUACCCCUGUAGU
rnacentral:rRNA from 1 species